UUGCUGUGAUGUAUGAAUUUCUUCACCUGAAAUCAAAGUGAAGAUAAAUUAUACGAGCUUUUUAACCCUGAGUGAU